GGUAAUUCCAGCUCCAAUAGCGUAUACUAACGUUGUUGCAGUUAAAAAGCUCGUAGUUGGAUUUCUGAUCUUUGCCAGUGGUUGUGUCGCCGCGUGCGAGGCGCCUUGCGCAGAGGUCAACAUAUGUCACGAGCCAGUGUGAUCUAUUCAUUUAGGUCCACUGGGUAAUGACUCGUUUACUUUGAGAAAAUUAGAGUGUUCAAAGCAGGCAUUUGCCUUGAAUAUGUUAGCAUGGAAUAAUAGCAUAGGACUUCUGUUCUAUUCGUUGGUUGUUCGAGAACUGGAGUAAUGAUUGAUAGGGACGGUUGGGGGCAUCCGUAUUCUCAAGCGAGAGGUGAAAUUCUUGGACCUUGGGAAGACGAACAGCUGCGAAAGCGUUUGCCUAGGACGUUCUCUUUAAUCAAGAACGAAAGUUGGGGGAUCGAAGACGAUCAGAUACCGUCGUAGUCUCAACUAUAAACUAUGCCAGCUAGGGAUCGGUGGGUCUUUGUCACGAGUCCAUCGGCACCUUACGAGAAAUCAAAGCAUUUGGGUUCCGGGGGGAGUAUGGUCGCAAGGCUGAAACUUAAAGGAAUUGACGGAAGGGCACCACCAGGAGUGGAGCCUGUGGCUUAAUUUGACUCAACACGGGAAAACUUACCAGGUCCGGACAUAGUAAGGAUUGACAGAUUGAAAGCUCUUUCUUGAUUCUAUGGGUGGUGGUGCAUGGCCAUUCUUAGUUGGUGGAGUAAUUUGUCUGGUUAAUUCCGUUAACGAGCGAGACCCGCGCCUGCUAAAUAGUCGGCCUCACUUCUGUGGGUGUUGUACUUCUUAGAGGGACCAUCCUGGGUAUACCGGAAGGAAGUUGCGGGCAAUAACAGGUCUGUGAUGCCCUUAGAUGUUCUGGGCUGCACACGGGCUACACUGCAAGAUACAACAAGCGUCGAUCACGCCUGACUGGAAGGUCCGGCCAAUCUUUGAAUAUCUUGCGUGAUUGGGAUAGACCAUUGCAAUUAUUGGUCUUCAACGAGGAAUUCCUAGUAAACGCGUGUCAACAACACGCAUUGAUUACGUCCCUGCCCUUUGUACACACCGCCCGUCGCUCCUACCGAUUGGAUGUUUCGAUGAGCCGUUUGGAGGACUAAGCUGAAAGCGUCAGCCGGAAGCUACGUCCGAAAUUCUGCAAAUCUGAAUAUCUAGAGGAAGGAGAAGUCGUAACAAGGUAGCCG
rnacentral:rRNA from 1 species